rnacentral:snRNA from 1 species
AUAUACUGGUUUCCCUUCAAAACGUAUAAAUCUUUCGCCUUUUACUAAAGAUUUCCGUGGAGGGGAACACUCAAAUGAGUCUAAACAAUAUUUUUGAAGUCCUCACUUUGUGAGGUU